AAGGCUUCAGCACGACCCAGUCAGAACUAUAAGUCUCAAAGCCCCGAUGAGUAGGGUGGCGUGCCGGUGCGCGUUGAAGGCCAAGACGUGAGUCAGGCUGGAGCCGCCGGUAGUGCAGAUCUUGGUGGUAGUAGCAAGUACUCUGGUGAACCAACCUGGAGCUGUGAGGUCUGGAUUAGGGUUCCAUGUCAACAGUGAUUGAACAUGGGUGAGUCGAACCUAAGCCAACUGUGAAAGCAGUGACAUCCCGACAAAGGGGCACAUACACCCCCAAACAAAGCUCUCGUAUUGCUCUCUCUCUCUCUCUCUGACGAUAAGAUACAUAUGACACGGCAUAUGAGCAAACACACAAUGAUUACUUUACUAUAAGUGAGUGUGUUUGCAUAUCUCUCUGGUUACGCUCAUAAGCGUUGGCGCAAAAAGUGGAUAAACGAUAUAUAUACAUGUGGCACAAAAAAAAGAGAGAGAGAGAAACGGAGUGGGUGAGCGUGAGUGCACCCUGCGUUGGUUCUAUGUCCGGCGAAAGGGAAUGGGGACUUUGUUCCUUGACCGGUCCUGGCACCCUCGAUUGGCUUUGCCAAUUAAUGGUCCAUGCAAAUGGAACCAGCCCACAGCCGUUGGCAGUCGCCCGAGGAAGAGUUUUCUUUUCUGCUUAACGCACGAGGUCAUCCCUGGAAACAGUUCGGCUGGCGAAAGGGUGCCCCGCUGCGGCAGAGCGCCACGACUGUCGUGCGCGUCUCGGUGUUCCUGCUGAUCCGUGAAGACGUGGUCGAGGGGAAUGCUCUUGUAUCAACGAAACGCCUGACAAGUUCGGGACGGACCGUACCCUAUAUCCGCAUCUGGUCUCCAAGGUUUCUAGCCUCUGCAGAGUCAGUCACAUGUAGGUAAGGGAAGUCGGCAAACUCGAUCCGUAACUUCGGGAAAAGGAUUGGCUCUGAGGGCCGAGCUGGGCCGGGCCUUGCCUGCAAAGCAGUACCUAUAGUGACCGGAGUUGCAGGAGUGCGAGGGGCUCUAGUAGCUGCUUGUGCGUUUUGUGCGUUCGCGCGUGCAUGCGUGUGGGCACGAACGAGUCCACCUCUCCGCUCCAACCACGAACGGCUGUGACGGCAAGGGCUCUGGGCGGGAGCUAUCGGUCCGUUCGCCCCCAGCUUGUCUGGGUGGCGGCGGUGCUCCGUCUGUCCCAUACGGCUCCAGCAGCCAGCGGCUAACUCAGAACUGUCAUGGACCAAGGGAAUCCGACUGUCUAAUUAAAACAAAGCGUCGUGACGGCCCC
rnacentral:rRNA from 1 species